GAUGAACGCUGGCGGCGUGCCUAAUACAUGCAAGUCGAGCGAACGGACGAGGAGCUUGCUUCUCUGAUGUUAGCGGCGGACGGGUGAGUAACACGUGGAUAACCUACCUAUAAGACUGGGAUAACUUCGGGAAACCGGAGCUAAUACCGGAUAAUAUUUUGAACCGCAUGGUUCAAAAGUGAAAGACGGUCUUGCUGUCACUUAUAGAUGGAUCCGCGCUGCAUUAGCUAGUUGGUAAGGUAACGGCUUACCAAGGCAACGAUGCAUAGCCGACCUGAGAGGGUGAUCGGCCACACUGGAACUGAGACACGGUCCAGACUCCUACGGGAGGCAGCAGUAGGGAAUCUUCCGCAAUGGGCGAAAGCCUGACGGAGCAACGCCGCGUGAGUGAUGAAGGUCUUCGGAUCGUAAAACGCUGUUAUUAGGGAAGAACAUAUGUGUAAGUAACUGUGCACAUCUUGACGGUACCUAAGCAGAAAGCCACGGCUAACUACGU
rnacentral:rRNA from 1 species